rnacentral:rRNA from 1 species
GACGUAGGGCGCGAGCGUUGUCCGGAUUUAUUGGGCGUAAAGAGCUCGUAGGCGGCUUGUUGCGUCGACCGUGAAAACCCGUGGCUCAACUGCGGGCUUGCGGUCGAUACGGGCAGGCUAGAGUUCGGUAGGGGAGACUGGAAUUCCUGGUGUAGCGGUGAAAUGCGCAGAUAUCAGGAGGAACACCGGUGGCGAAGGCGGCGACCUGGUCCGUGACUGACGCUGGAGGCGCGAAAGCGUGGGGGAGCAAACAGG